rnacentral:rRNA from 1 species
UACGUAGGGUGCAAGCGUUAAUCGGAAUUACUGGGCGUAAAGCGUGCGCAGGCGGUUCUAUAAGACAGAUGUGAAAUCCCCGGGCUCAACCUGGGAACUGCAUUUGUGACUGUAGAGCUGGAGUACGGUAGAGGGGGAUGGAAUUCCGCGUGUAGCAGUGAAAUGCGUAGAUAUGCGGAGGAACACCGAUGGCGAAGGCAAUCCCCUGGACCUGUACUGACGCUCAGGCACGAAAGCGUGGGGAGCAAACAUG